AUGCAAGGACGGUUGGUCGGAGAUCACGGUGAUUGGAAGCUUUGUACGGGAGUUGUCUAUAUUUCACAACGUCAGAUCCAGAGCAGAAAGACUGUGUGGUAUGAAGGUUAUGGUUUUGUUGUUGUUUGUUCCGAAUCGAUCUUCUACAGGUUUUUGUAUAUGACCUUUUGGGCAAGUUUGGGACAACAAAGAUAUGGACAAUACAACAUGCUGUAUGCGGGUUUUUGGACUGACCUAUUUGGACUAAUAUGCAGGGUUGUUUCUGGUUUGGGGCAGCAGUAUGGUGGAGUUAGUUUAUGCAGAGCUUUGACUUGUUUAUGGAUAGUAUGCAGAGGAAAACAGAGCAGCAACUGCAGGCUUAGCAGUUUUUUUAGAGUGUAG
rnacentral:lncRNA from 1 species